rnacentral:rRNA from 1 species
UACAGAGGGUGCAAGCGUUAAUCGGAAUUACUGGGCGUAAAGCGUGCGUAGUCGGUUAUCUAAGUCGGGUGUGAAAUCCCCGGGCUCAACCUGGGAAUUGCAUUCGAUACUGGAUAGCUAGAGUUCGGCAGAGGGAAGCGGAAUUUCCGGUGUAGCGGUGAAAUGCGUAGAUAUCGGAAGGAACAUCAGUGGCGAAGGCGGCUUCCUGGACCAGAACUGACGAUCAGGCACGAAAGCGUGGGGAGCAAACAGG